UACGUAGGGUGCAAGCGUUGUCCGGAAUUAUUGGGCGUAAAGGGCUCGUAGGCGGUUUGUCGCGUCGGGAGUGAAAACUCAGGGCUUAACCCUGAGCCUGCUUCCGAUACGGGCAGACUAGAGGUAUGCAGGGGAGAAUGGAAUUCCUGGUGUAGCGGUGAAAUGCGCAGAUAUCAGGAGGAACACCAGUGGCGAAAGCGGCUUCCUGGUCCAGCACCGACGUUCAGGCACGAAAGCGUGGGGAGCAAACAGG
rnacentral:rRNA from 1 species